rnacentral:lncRNA from 1 species
CAGCACUGCUCUUAUUUGUGUUUCCCACACAGAAUCACAGCUUUUCACACCUCCUCAGUGUCACCGUAUUUAGGAACUGAGGCAAUCUGAUGUUUAACAUGCCAGGCUGUGAUUGCUGGAACUUGGAGUUUCCAUCGUGGACUUUCUGGCAUAGAAACCUUUUGAGAUAUGGUGGCCAUAAUUAAAUGGAAUACUCAGAUUCUCAAUGCACAUUUAAAAGCUGAAAUAUCCACAGCAGCACUGCAGGGAUGGCAGGUUAGUUCCGCUCAGCAGUCUUACGCCUCAAUCCCUAUAUCAUCGGAGUAGCAGAGAUUGGAGUAAGAAUUGUGAAGAAAAGUACUGCUUGGCUACCUGUUAAACUCAGCAACACCUCAGGCAAAGCAAAAAACAAUGUCUUCACCUUAUUAGUUGACUGAGAGGCUAAAUAAAUUGGGAGUUUGGCAAGUGUGACUUGCUUAC